GAUGAACGCUGGCGGCGUGCCUAAUACAUGCAAGUCGAGCGAACGGACGAGAAGCUUGCUUCUCUGAUGUUAGCGGCGGACGGGUGAGUAACACGUGGAUAACCUACCUAUAAGACUGGGAUAACUUCGGGAAACCGGAGCUAAUACCGGAUAAUAUUUUGAACCGCAUGGUUCAAAAGUGAAAGACGGUCUUGCUGUCACUUAUAGAUGGAUCCGCGCUGCAUUAGCUAGUUGGUAAGGUAACGGCUUACCAAGGCAACGAUGCAUAGCCGACCUGAGAGGGUGAUCGGCCACACUGGAACUGAGACACGGUCCAGACUCCUACGGGAGGCAGCAGUAGGGAAUCUUCCGCAAUGGGCGAAAGCCUGACGGAGCAACGCCGCGUGAGUGAUGAAGGUCUUCGGAUCGUAAAACUCUGUUAUUAGGGAAGAACAUAUGUGUAAGUAACUGUGCACAUCUUGACGGUACCUAAUCAGAAAGCCACGGCUAACUACGUGCCAGCAGCCGCGGUAAUACGUAGGUGGGCAGCGUUAUCCGGAAUUAUUGGGCGUAGCGCGCGUAGGCGGUUUUUUAGUCUGAUGUGAAAGCCCACGGCUCAACCGUGGAGGGUCAUUGGAAACUGGAAAACUUGAGUGCAGAAGAGGAAAGUGGAAUUCCAUGUGUAGCGGUGAAAUGCGCAGAGAUAUGGAGGAACACCAGUGGCGAAGGCGACUUUCUGGUCUGUAACUGACGCUGAUGUGCGAAAGCGUGGGGAUCAAACAGGAUUAGAUACCCUGGUAGUCCACGCCGUAAACGAUGAGUGCUAAGUGUUAGGGGGUUUCCGCCCCUUAGUGCUGCAGCUAACGCAUUAAGCACUCCGCCUGGGGAGUACGACCGCAAGGUUGAAACUCAAAGGAAUUGACGGGGACCCGCACAAGCGGUGGAGCAUGUGGUUUAAUUCGAAGCAACGCGAAGAACCUUACCAAAUCUUGACAUCCUUUGACAACUCUAGAGAUAGAGCCUUCCCCUUCGGGGGACAAAGUGACAGGUGGUGCAUGGUUGUCGUCAGCUCGUGUCGUGAGAUGUUGGGUUAAGUCCCGCAACGAGCGCAACCCUUAAGCUUAGUUGCCAUCAUUAAGUUGGGCACUCUAAGUUGACUGCCGGUGACAAACCGGAGGAAGGUGGGGAUGACGUCAAAUCAUCAUGCCCCUUAUGAUUUGGGCUACACACGUGCUACAAUGGACAAUACAAAGGGCAGCGAAACCGCGAGGUCAAGCAAAUCCCAUAAAGUUGUUCUCAGUUCGGAUUGUAGUCUGCAACUCGACUACAUGAAGCUGGAAUCGCUAGUAAUCGUAGAUCAGCAUGCUACGGUGAAUACGUUCCCGGGUCU
rnacentral:rRNA from 1 species